rfam:Ictidomys tridecemlineatus contig066074, whole genome shotgun sequence.
UGGGCUGUGGCUCAGUGGUAGAGUGCUCACCUAGCACAUAUGAGGCACUGAGUUCAAGCCUCAGCACCACAU